UGAGGAACCAGAUGCUCACGCUCC
rnacentral:piRNA from 1 species